UACGGAGGGGGCAAACGUUGCGCGGAAUCAUUGGGCGUAAAGCGCACGUAGGCGGUGCAGUAAGUCGGAUGUGAAAGCCCUCGGCUCAACAGAGGAAGUGCAUUCGAAACUGCUGUGCUUGAGUACGGAAGAGGGUCUCGGAAUUCCCGGUGUAGAGGUGAAAUUCGUAGAUAUCGGGAGGAACACCAGUGGCGAAGGCGGAGACCUGGGCCGAUACUGACGCUGAGGUGCGAAAGCGUGGGGAGCAAACAGG
rnacentral:rRNA from 1 species